rnacentral:rRNA from 1 species
CCUACGGGUGGCAGCAGUGAGGAAUAUUGGUCAAUGGGCGGAAGCCUGAACCAGCCAAGUAGCGUGCGGGAUGAAGGCCCUACGGGUCGUAAACCUCUUUUGUCAGGGAACAAAGGCGGGGACGCGUCCCCGGAUGAGUGUACCUGAAGAAAAAGCAUCGGCUAACUCCGUGCCAGCAGCCGCGGUAAUACGGAGGAUGCGAGCGUUAUCCGGAUUUAUUGGGUUUAAAGGGUGCGCAGGCGGUCUGUUAAGUCAGCGGUCAAAGCCCGGGGCUCAACCCCGGCCCGCCGUUGAAACUGGCAGUCUCGAGUUGGAGAGAAGUAUGCGGAAUGCGCGGUGUAGCGGUGAAAUGCAUAGAUAUCGCGCAGAACUCCGAUUGCGAAGGCAGCAUGCCGGCUCCACACUGACGCUGAGGCACGAAAGCGUGGGUAUCGAACAGGAUUAGAUACCCCAGUAGUC